CCUACGGGUGGCAGCAGUGAGGAAUAUUGGUCAAUGGCCGGAAGUCUGAACCAGCCAUGCCGCGUGCAGGAAGACGGCUCUAUGAGUUGUAAACUGCUUUUGUACAGGGGUAAACCUGAAUACGUGUAUUCAGCUGAAAUUACUUUACGAAUAAGGAUCGGCUAACUCCGUGCCAGCAGCCGCGGUAAUACGGAGGAUCCAAGCGUUAUCCGGAUUUAUUGGGUUUAAAGGGUGCGUAGGUGGUUUUAUAAGUCAGAGGUGAAAGUUCGGAGCUUAACCAUGGAACUGCCUCUAAUACUGUUGAUCUAGAGAGUAGAUGCGGUAGGCGGAAUGUAUGGUGUAGCGGUGAAAUGCUUAGAGAUCAGACAGAACACCGAUUGCGAAGGCAGCUUACCAAUCUAUAUCUGACGUUGAGGCACGAAAGCGUGGGGAGCAAACAGGAUUAGAUACCCUAGUAGUC
rnacentral:rRNA from 1 species